AUGGACUGGACCAUGACGCUGACCCGCCGGUUCCGCGCGCUCAAGAUGUGGCUCGUGCUCCGCUGCUACGGCAUCCAAGGCCUGCGUGACCACAUCCGCUCUCACGUCCGCAUGGCCGAGGCGUUUGAGAAGAUGGUCAAGGCCGACGAAAGAUUCAAGGUGGUGACAGACCGGAAGUUUGCGCUGGUGUGCUUCCGGCUCCGGUCACAGGACAAAUUUGGCGGCGCUGACAAGCAGGCGGCCAACCGGCUCAACCGACGUCUCCUUGAGGAGGUGAACGCUGCAACCUCAGGCCCCUACAUGAGUUCGGCAACUGUUGGUGGCAUGUUCAUACUAAGGUGUGCCAUUGGAAGCACACUCACAGAGGAGCACCACGUGAGCGAUGCAUGGAAGGUUGUGCAGGAUCAGGCCACCAUAAUCCUUCGUAACAACUAA
rnacentral:rRNA from 1 species